rnacentral:rRNA from 1 species
CACGUAGGGGGCAAGCGUUGUCCGGAUUUAUUGGGCGUAAAGAGCUCGUAGGCGGUUCGAUAAGUCGGGUGUGAAACCUCCAGGCUCAACCUGGAGACGCCACCCGAUACUGUUGUGACUAGAGUCCGUAGGGGAGCGUGGAAUUCCUGGUGUAGCGGUGAAAUGCGCAGAUAUCAGGAGGAACACCAGUGGCGAAGGCGACUACCUGGCCUGUUCUUGACGCUGAGGCGCGAAAAGCUAGGGGGGGAGCAAAACGGG